rnacentral:rRNA from 1 species
AGCAGCAGCCACGGUAAUACAGAGGGUGCAAGCGUUAAUCGGAAUUACUGGGCGUAAAGCGCGCGUAGGUGGUUUGUUAAGUUGGAUGUGAAAGCCCCGGGCUCAACCUGGGAACUGCAUCCAAAACUGGCAAGCUAGAGUACGGUAGAGGGUGGUGGAAUUUCCUGUGUAGCGGUGAAAUGCGUAGAUAUAGGAAGGAACACCAGUGGCGAAGGCGACCACCUGGACUGAUACUGACACUGAGGUGCGAAAGCGUGGGGAGCAAACAGGAUUAGAUACCCCCGUAGUCCCUGUCUCUUAUAC